UACGAAGGGUGCAAGCGUUACUCGGAAUUACUGGGCGUAAAGCGUGCGUAGGCGGUUUGUUAAGUCUGUCGUGAAAGCCCUGGGCUCAACCUGGGAACUGCGAUGGAUACUGGCGAGCUAGAGUACGGUAGAGGAUGGUGGAAUUCCCGGUGUAGCGGUGAAAUGCGUAGAGAUCGGGAGGAACACCCGUGGCGAAGGCGGCCAUCUGGACCAGUACUGACGCUGAGGCACGAAAGCGUGGGGAGCAAACAGG
rnacentral:rRNA from 1 species